GAUGAACGCUGGCGGCGUGCCUAAUACAUGCAAGUAGAACGCUGAAGCUUGGUGCUUGCACCGAGCGGAUGAGUUGCGAACGGGUGAGUAACGCGUAGGUAACCUGCCUCUUAGCGGGGGAUAACUAUUGGAAACGAUAGCUAAUACCGCAUAAAAGUCGAUAUCGCAUGAUAUUGAUUUGAAAGGUGCAAAUGCAUCACUAAGAGAUGGACCUGCGUUGUAUUAGCUAGUUGGUGAGGUAACGGCUCACCAAGGCGACGAUACAUAGCCGACCUGAGAGGGUGAUCGGCCAAACUGGGACUGAGACACGGCCCAGACUCCUACGGGAGGCAGCAGUAGGGAAUCUUCGGCAAUAGGGGCAACCCUGACCGAGCAACGCCGCGUGAGUGAAGAAGGUUUUCGGAUCGUAAAGCUCUGUUGUAAGAGAAGAACGAGUGUGAGAGUGGAAAGUUCACACUGUGACGGUAACUUACCAGAAAGGGACGGCUAACUACGUG
rnacentral:rRNA from 1 species